rnacentral:rRNA from 1 species
AAUGGUGCCGUAACUUCGGGAGAAGGCACGCUGAUAUGUAGGUGAAGUCCCUCGCGGAUGGAGCUGAAAUCAGUCGAAGAUACCAGCUGGCUGCAACUGUUUAUUAAAAACACAGCACUGUGCAAACACGAAAGUGGACGUAUACGGUGUGACGCCUGCCCGGUGCCGGAAGGUUAAUUGAUGGGGUCAGCGCAAGCGAAGCUCUUGAUCGAAGCCCCGGUAAACGGCGGCCGUAACUAUAACGGUCCUAAGGUAGCGAAAUUCCUUGUCGGGUAAGUUCCGACCUGCACGAAUGGCGUAAUGAUGGCCAGGCUGUCUCCACCCGAGACUCAGUGAAAUUGAACUCGCUGUGAAGAUGCAGUGUACCCGCGGCAAGACGGAAAGACCCCGUGAACCUUUACUAUAGCUUGACACUGAACAUUGAGCCUUGAUGUGUAGGAUAGGUGGGAGGCUUAGAAGUGUGGACGCCAGUCUGCAUGGAGCCGACCUUGAAAUACCACCCUUUAAUGUUUGAUGUUCUAACGUUGACCCGUAAUCCGGGUUGCGGACAGUGUCUGGUGGGUAGUUUGACUGGGGCGGUCUCCUCCUAAAGAGUAACGGAGGAGCACGAAGGUUGGCUAAUCCUGGUCGGACAUCAGGAGGUUAGUGCAAUGGCAUAAGCCAGCUUGACUGCGAGCGUGACGGCGCGAGCAGGUGCGAAAGCAGGUCAUAGUGAUCCGGUGGUUCUGAAUGGAAGGGCCAUCGCUCAACGGAUAAAAGGUACUCCGGGGAUAACAGGCUGAUACCGCCCAAGAGUUCAUAUCGACGGCGGUGUUUGGCACCUCGAUGUCGGCUCAUCACAUCCUGGGGCUGAAGUAGGUCCCAAGGGUAUGGCUGUUCGCCAUUUAAAGUGGUACGCGAGCUGGGUUUAGAACGUCGUGAGACAGUUCGGUCCCUAUCUGCCGUGGGCGCUGGAGAACUGAGGGGGGCUGCUCCUAGUACGAGAGGACCGGAGUGGACGCAUCACUGGUGUUCGGGUUGUCAUGCCAAUGGCACUGCCCGGUAGCUAAAUGCGGAAGAGAUAAGUGCUGAAAGCAUCUAAGCACGAAACUUGCCCCGAGAUGAGUUCUCCCUGACUCCUUGAGAGUCCUGAAGGAACGUUGAAGACGACGACGUUGAUAGGCCGGGUGUGUAAGCGCAGCGAUGCGUUGAGCUAACCGGUACUAAUGAACCGUGAGGCUUAACCUU